UCAAAUUUGAAAUCUGGCAUCUUUGGUGUCCGAAUUGUAAUUUGGAGAGGCAACUUCAGGUAGGACCCAGUCUAUGUUCCUUGGAACAGGACGUCAUAGAGGGUGAGAAUCCCGUUCUUGACUGGAUGUUCUUGCUAGUAUGUAGUGCCUUCUACGAGUCGAGUUGUUUGGGAAUGCAGCUCAAAAUGGGUGGUAAAUUUCAUCUAAAGCUAAAUAUUGGCGAGAGACCGAUAGCGCACAAGUAGAGUGAUCGAAAGAUGAAAAGCACUUUGAAAAUAGAGUCAAAAAGUACGUGAAAUUGUUGAAAGGGAAGCGCUUGAGACCAGACUCAGCCUUUGGCAAACAAGUGUCCUUCUGGGCAGUGCACUUGCCUCAGGUUGGGCCAGUAUCAGUUAGGAUGGUAGGAGAAAGGCUAGGGGAAUGUGACUCCGAUCUGGAGUGUUAUAGACCCUGGCGUCAUGCUACCUGUCCUGACUGUGGACCGCGCGUUAGCUAGGAUACUGGCGUAAUGGUCUUCAGCGGCCCGUCUU
rnacentral:rRNA from 1 species